AGUGAACGCUGGCGGUAGGCCUAACACAUGCAAGUCGAACGGCAGCACAGUAAGAGCUUGCUCUUACGGGUGGCGAGUGGCGGACGGGUGAGGAAUACAUCGGAAUCUACUUUUUCGUGGGGGAUAACGUAGGGAAACUUACGCUAAUACCGCAUACGACCUACGGGUGAAAGCAGAGGAUCUUCGGACCUUGCGCGAUUGAAUUAGCCGAUGUCGGAUUAGCUAGUUGGCGGGGUAAAGGCCCACCAAGGCGACGAUCCGUAGCUGGUCUGAGAGGAUGAUCAGCCACACUGGAACUGAGACACGGUCCAGACUCCUACGGGAGGCAGCAGUGGGGAAUAUUGGACAAUGGGCGCAAGCCUGAUCCAGCCAUACCGCGUGGGUGAAGAAGGCCUUCGGGUUGUAAAGCCCUUUUGUUGGGAAAGAAAAGCAGCAGGUUAAUACCCCGCUGUUCUGACGGUACCCAAAGAAUAAGCACCGGCUAACUUCGUG
rnacentral:rRNA from 1 species